UGAAAGUACUCCCUUAGAUCCAUUUAUAAGUAUCUCAGAUUUAGUACAACUUUGUACUAACUUUGUACUAAAUCUGAGACACCUAUUAUGGAUCGGAGGAAGCACAUUGUAUUUAAUCAUAUAUUAACAACUGAGUUACUCGCUAACCUUUGACAUGCCUACCCAUGACGGAAAGUCCUUUUUAAUCAAGUUAAUGAUAAUUACAAUUACUACCUAAUGUGCUAAUGUUGUUUUACUACUGUUUGCAGGUGCCUGAUAAUGCUGUGGCUAUCUUCUUUGGCAUAUUGACCCUCAUGUUAGACAGGGUUAUAGGAAAGAAACAGAGUUUGUACCUUGCCAGUAAUCGGGCAAGCAGUUGCUGGUCUACAUUGCUUUCAUGCAUAUUAUCAAGCUACAUCUAUUUUGCGCUCUUCAAAAGGCCCCGAGGAACAAGAUAGUAUCAAGGUGCCUCCAUUUGCUGAUUUUUGGACCAGAAGUGCCAGCGGGAAGGUGGGAAGAGCAAGGCAACAACAGGAUUCUGCGAAAUUCUGGCCAUUAAUGUUUUGGUGAGCUGCAAGAGCUCUUUGUCAUUGGAUCCCCUUGCGGCUUGAUGACAAUGAAGCAGUUCAUGCUCUCAGACUGCAAAAACAGUUGCAAGCAACACUGAAGUCAAAAGAUUCUACAUUUUUUAUGUGCUGCUACUGUAAUACUAUCCCACUGUUAGAAAACUGGCUAUUAUACUGAAGUGGUUUCAGAAAUGAGUUAAAAUGUACCGUGGUUCUAAACUGUUCCCAUGCCUACGCCGGUUCAUGCCACAAAUUGGAGGAAUUAAUAGCAUGAUUUAUCUGUAUGUAAUAUUUUAUAUGUUGGUAUAUGCCAUAAACAGGUCACAAUGUUGA